ACUCAUACGGCUUCAUACCAACAGAAAUAAGAUGGGAGCGGCCAAGCAGAAGGACUUCGCUAAGCACAUUCCGGAAGACCAAGAGCUUCUGGGAAGUGCAAGGCCUGGCCGGAAGGCCCCUGGAGAUCCCUGGCAUCUUAAAGGCAAAGCAGGCCCACCGUGCAAUUGUGCAAGGCUCGGGUGCCCUGCCCUGCGGCGUGAGGACGGCAUGACAGGAAACUACAGCAACGCGGCUGUGGGGCUUUUCCCCACGAGGCAG